CUUUCUUAGAAAAGGCACUUUCUGCAUGUUUUUAGCACUCUUUAGGUAUGUACAUUUAGAAAACAUCAUAAGUUAGAUAAGAUAUAGAUAGAUAAGUUAGAUAAGAUAGUUCUAGGUACAUUGAAAAGUACUUCGAAAACAAUUUUGUCUUGACAGCAAUAAUAGAAUUUGGUUCUAAUGCCAUAACUUUUCAUGAGUUGAUAAUUAUUAAGAUUAAUAAAAGCACAGAAAUUAAUUUUGCAUCUGAGCCUUUUUUUUUUUUUUUUUUUUACUGGGUUGCAACAGGUUCUAGGAGACUGCAAGCCCCCUGGCUGAUCUACAGCUCACACAUGUUGUUAAUUAAAGCAUCACUGAUUUCAUGCACCUGGCUGAGCUCUUUAGUGGAAGGCAGAAACUGGGAAGUUACUCUGUUUGUGUGGUGUUGUACUCCAGAACAAAAGCAGCAAAAUGGAGAUGAUUUGUACACAUUCCAGUUUACUGAUUUCAGUGAGCGCAGCACCAGGUAUAUGCAGCUUUGUUAACUUCAGUGGACAUUUGCAGUUAACAACCAUUCCCUUGGAAGAUGCUGCACAUCGAUGACUUCGCGAUGCACCAGUCAGCUGUUCGGCUGGAUACCCCGCCUGGACUCUUCAGGAAUUUUUGGAGGGUUUUUUUUAUUUCUGAAUCACAUCAAAAGAUUUCCUGCGAACCACAACACAGUGGGGAUCUUGUGAAUUUCAAGCCCUGCGAGUUUAAAUGCUUCCAGGAGUUGAUGUCACUAACCAGUGGUUUUAGGCUUGACCGUCUAAAUUCUCACUUAUGCCACAGACAGGUAAGCGCCUUUUGCUUAAUUUUGCAUGAAACUAUUGUUUUCAAGCCGAAGCAUAUGGUGGGAGGAAGAGGAGGAGCUACUUUCCAAGUUAAUUACGGAGGCACAGCUCCUCACUUUUAUGAGCAGCAGUAGAGGGGAGAAGAGCAAAAAUGACUUUUCUCUGAUGACUGAAGAAAUAUUUAUGAUACGCCGUUCUCAGAGAGAAGGAGAUGACUGGAAUAUCACACUGUUGCUCUGAGUUUCUUGAGUCUAA
rnacentral:lncRNA from 1 species